GCAGCUACACAGCGAUGUGAUGCUAAUCUCCAAACCAUGUCUCAGUUCGGAUCGGAGUCUGCAACUCGACUCCGUGAAGCUGGAUUCGCUAGUAAUCGCGCAUCAGCCAUGGCGCGGUGAAUACGUUCCCGGGCCUUGUACACACCGCCCGUCAAGCCAUGGGAGCCGGGGGUACCUGAAGUCCGUAACCGCGAGGAUCGGCCUAGGGUAAAACUGGUGACUGGGGCUAAGUCGUAACAAGGUAUC
rnacentral:rRNA from 1 species